GACGAACGCGGGGGCGUGCUUAAUACAUGCAAGUGGGACGCAAGGAACACACUGUGCUUGCACACCGUGUUUUCUUGAGUCGCGAACGGGUGAGUAACGCGUAGGUAACCUGCCUAUAAGCGGGGGAUAACUAUGGGAAACGAUAGCUAAUACCGCAUAAUAUUAAUUAUUGCAUGAUAAUUGAUUGAAAGAUGCAAGCGCAUCACUAGUAGAUGGACCUGCGUUGUAUUAGCUAGUUGGUAAGGUAAGAGCUUACCAAGGCGACGAUACAUAGCCGACCUGAGAGGGUGAUCGGCCACACUGGGACUGAGACACGGCCCAGACUCCUACGGGAGGCAGCAGUAGGGAAUCUUCGGCAAUGGACGAAAGUCUGACCGAGCAACGCCGCGUGAGUGAAGAAGGUUUUCGGAUCGUAAAGCUCUGUUGUAAGUCAAGAACGUGUGUGAGAGUGGAAAGUUCACACAGUGACGGAGCUACCAG
rnacentral:rRNA from 1 species